CUGAUGACUUACAAAGGUUGCAAGUUCUAUUUCUUUCAGUGUAUUGUAUCCAGUGGCCUUCAUCAAUUGGUAGUUUAUGAUAUGUAAUUCCAAAUUUAAGUAAGGAAUAAGAGAUAGAUUUUGGUAGAUAAAGGUGCUUUUCAAAUUUAGGUAAUUUCUUGUAAUAUUUAUAGUAAAAGCCUUUUGAUCUGUUAGUAAAUGAACUGUUCCAUGAUUGAUAAAAUUGGUCACGGGGAGACGUGUCGAUCAUACUAACCAACCACUGUCUGUCAAAAAAGCUUGGCAUCAGUAAUACAUAUGAAAGACGACUUGUUUAAUAUUGAUUCAAUAUGGCUAACCCAAGGUGAUUGAUAGUUAGAAGAUACAUCUGAUGUGAUAACAGUUAACAAGUCACAUGAUAGUGUAUCCAUUCCUGACAAUUGUUUAUGCCAGUAGUUUAUCAUUCGUUUAGUUCUCGGAAUUGUUAAUGGUACUGUGCCUAGCCCGCAAUACACCAUAAAGUAAGGUGUAGACAUACUAACUUAAAAAAUUUCAGGUGUACAUUUUCAAAAUGCUUUUUCUGGUUUCACUUCCUAAUCCAGUCUUACAUGACUAAAGGACAGGAUAACUGAAAACUACACCGCUCAGAUUGCUUAUUUCUUGGCUUAAUUUGUGUUCUCGAAUUGCAGAUCUGUCUGUGAUCAAGAGGAAAAGCAGUUUGAUUAUAAUGGAUCACCUAUCAAAA